UAUGAUAGUGAAGGCUCUUUAAUUAUAAUGUUUGUCUUCAUAUAGGGAAAGUAGAAGAAUUUUUCUAAUAAUGAUAAGAUAUACAGCCAGUCACAUUUAAUUAAUUGAUGAAAGCAAAAGGUUUUGGUCCAUACAAGAUCAUGUAGGCAUCAGCAUAAUCUGUUAGUGAUAUUUGUUUAACUAUUUUUUUGUCUUUAUAAACAAUUUUUUAAAAAAAAGAAGAAGAAAGAUUGGUUUAUUUCAAUGUAGCUCUUUGAAGCUUGAAUUCUGUAGAUAAAAUAGCCUUGGAUUGUUCAUAUAUUAUUUUUGAAAGAUUUGGUUAGUUCAUACAUAACUGGCUUAAUCAAGAGAAUGUUUCUCCGCCUUGUGCGCACGUUUCAGAAGAUAUUAUACACUGGUCAUAUCCUAAUUGUAAUUUAUAAAUAAAUUGCAGGAGAUCGUAGAACAGCAAUAUGUUUAAACUUAGUUCUGAUUCGAAGGUUUUUAAUUAAUAUAUUAAUCGAUUAUAGUAUAUUGUGCUUGAAUUAAAUGGAUUGCAGUGUCGUCUUACAUGAUCAAUUGUAUCAAUUUAACCAUAUGCAGUUUUUUUUUCCAGGGUUUAUAUACCAUUGGCAAAACCUUGCCCAUGUAAUCCACUUCCUAAGCUAGUCUAAUUAUUUUUCUCUUUAAUAAUCCCCUUUUAUCUCCUCCCUGGAAAUUAUGAUAUAAUUUGCCUAUUUUCUAUCUCUUUUCUUUCAGCCUUUCCGUUAUUCUUUCGUUUUAUUACCUUUUGUUCUCAAGAAAAAAGAUUAUUGAUGGUAGCUGAAGCCUGAAGCCUUGAAUUUUCUCCCAACUAUAUCUGUUUGCGUUACCAAACACCCGAUUGUUGAAAUUUUCUGCAUUUAUUUUGUUUUACUACACUGCAUUUGCUCCAACCAUCAUUUUACUAGCCAAUGCCAUGCAGAUCUAUUUUUCAUUGUUGUUUUAAUAAUAUUUGGUUUGGUAGUGCAGCUCCUUUGGAUGAAUUAUCUGCCUUCAUUUAGUAGUUCGAUCAAAGUAUAGUUUGGUGCUACGGGGUAUCAUGACCUCCUCAAAUUUGGUUCAAGGACUUCAAAACAAAAUGUUGCCGCGCAAGAGUGUUAAAGAUGGAAGUGUAUAUGUGGAGCUAUAAUUCGAGUUUUGGACCAUCUUCUUGUGACUUAUUCUGAAGGAAUCAAACUUUAUGAAGGCAGAAAGAACACUUGACAAUGCUACCAAUCAAGCACAAGACUUGAGAAGCACAAAGUUAUAAUAAUCAUCAGAUCAGUCGUGUUAGGAUGAUGAAUGGGUGUUCUUUUCAGAUGCAUUGGUAAAAUUUUACCCAACAGCGUAAGUCAAAUGCCCAGAAGUGAGAAAUUGUGUUCUCUUUUUCUUAAAAGAAUAUGAUCUGUGCAAUUUCUAUAAUCUUUACUUAUCAGCUGUUUGCUUUAGUGAAGGAAUAGAUAUUAGGGAAAUGAGCUCAGUCUGCCUAUGGGUAUGCAUAGAAUAGAAAUCGGUUCGACCUGUAGCCAAGUUGACCUUGUACACUUCGAUUAAAUCCGAGACAAAUGCUGAUGUUUGCAGGAUUGUCUGAAACCCCAUGGCAGGUACGCGUUUGUGGUUGGGUGGCGCUGUGAAGCUAAGAAGCCAUUGAUUGCAGAAUUAAUUGAAGGUUAUAUCUCCUACGGUUGAAUCUAGAUGUUACUUGGUGUGACCUCAGACUAGCUCGAGUGGUGGAAAAAGGCUGUUGCCCAUGAAUCCAGCUGUGUUGUUCUUCAAUGUCUCGUACGACUUGUGGGACUAUCGCACAAAGAAAGACAAAAUAUUGCUAUCUCGAUCAUGCCUUCCUCAAGGCAAGGCAAGGCAAUCUGUUGUAUUGAAAUAUUCUGCCUUUCAGUUUAUGGUGAAAUUGAUUUGUUAAGGGUAGAAAUUUCCUAGCUUUGACCAUUCUGCUCUUUAACCCUCUUUCCUGUAAUCGAUAUCAGGGAUGGAUUUAUGACUGAAUAAUCAAUAUACAAAAAAACGGAG